CGCGACCCCAGUCAGCG
rnacentral:rRNA from 1 species